GCCGAAGUGGCGGAAUCGGCAGACGCACCUGACUCAAAAUCAGGCGGGGUCACACCCAUGGGGGUUCGAGUCCCCCCUUCGGCACCA
rnacentral:tRNA from 1 species